UACAGAGGUCCCGAGCGUUGUUCGGAUUCACUGGGCGUAAAGGGUGCGUAGGCGGUCGGGUAAGUCUGAUGUGAAAUCUCACAGCUUAACUGUGAAACUGCAUUGGAUACUAUUCGGCUUGAGAGUUGGAGGGGGGACUGGAAUUCUUGGUGUAGCAGUGAAAUGCGUAGAUAUCAAGAGGAACACCAGUGGCGAAGGCGAGUCCCUGGACAGUAACUGACGCUGAGGAGCGAAAGCGUGGGGAGCGAACAGG
rnacentral:rRNA from 1 species